rnacentral:rRNA from 1 species
UACAGAGGGUGCGAGCGUUAAUCGGAAUUACUGGGCGUAAAGUGUGCGCAGGCGGCCGAGCAAGUCGGGUGUGAAAGCCCCGAGCUUAACUUGGGAACUGCGCUCGAAACUACUUGGCUAGAGUGUGGCAGAGGGAGGUGGAAUUCCACGUGUAGCGGUGAAAUGCGUAGAGAUGUGGAGGAACACCGAUGGCGAAGGCAGCCUCCUGGGCCAACACUGACGCUCAUGCACGAAAGCGUGGGGAGCAAACAGG